CAACCGAAUGGCGGACAGAAAGCGAAAGCGACCGCAUUCUCUUACUAUAGGGCCACCCACAGUCCCACUGCCAAUGCCUGUCUCCACCCGAUCAUUAAUUAUUCAUUCAGAAUCGUUGUCUAGCUGAAGUAAUCUCUCAUUUCGAUUCCCAGCUUCUUUUUACUAAGAAAUCGCAGGAAAAACUGACUCUUUUACAAGAAGUCGUUCCAUUUCCAAUCUGGUCUGGUUGGCUCUGCGUUUUUCUUAGCAACCAAACAUACCGUUAGUCCAGCCUCUGUAAAGAUUUCCUGAAGAGUUAUAGCUAAAUUCUUGGCUUUGAUGUACAGCUACUUGAACAUAUCCAUUAGCAAAAACUUAGUGCCUGAUGAAAUCAAAGGAAGAGAGAUUCACCAUUCAUUUCCAAUGACUCUUUUUCAGGUUCUAUUAGUCUAGAUAUUUUGUGAUAUCCUUUUUCUUCUAGAAAAAUAAGAUCUAAGCACUAGACCUAUCUCAAUCUGUGACAUGAGGGUGAUGAUUCAUGAGACAAGCUAAUGGAUCAUGCGUUGUCCGCCCCGCACUGCUCAUCUGAACCACAAUAGAUAGAAGCUUCUCGAGUACUGGACAUGGCAGUUUGUUGUGAUUUGCCUUGUGUUCAAUCUUGAUGAUAACUCUUCAACUUCUUGGAGCCUAUCCCAGUUGGGUCAGCUGGACAUGCAGCAUCAUUCUUAACAUUUCAGUGUCACUGGCUUUAUACUCUCUUGUCAUUUUCUACCAUGUGUUUGCAAAGGAGUUGGCACCAAAUAAACCGCUUGCUAAGUUUUUAUGCAUCAAAGGGAUUGUCUUCUUCUGCUUUUGGCAGGGUGUUGUACUUGAUAUUCUUGUAGCAUUGGGCAAAAUCCGAUCUCAUCAUGUCUGGCUAGAUGUUGAGCACAUUGAGGAAGCCCCACAAAAUGUAUUGGUGUGUGUGGAGAUGGUUUUCUUUUCUGCUUUUCAGCAAUAUGCAUACAACGUUGCGCCAUACAGAGAUGAUGUUGCAUCAAGCGCAAAAUUAGAUAAGAAGAAAGAGUGAUUUGGAAUUUACAUAAAUAUGGGUGAGAACUUGAAUGUACCGAUAAAUAUCAUUGACUGAACUAAGUUAGAUUUAUAUGACCCAUGCUAUACCUAUAUCUAAAUUAUUUCGACUUUUAUACUUUUAGCUAGAGGAUAUGAAAAAAAGAAAGAAACCCAAUGCAUUUGAGAAAUAUUAGGCGCUAGUGUGUUUCUGCUCU